UUUAUCCCGACACAACCCGCACUCCUUGCUGUUCCCACUUGUCUUCUCUCGUGCGAGCUUCCCCAUUCCCCUCUCCGCCAACUCCGUCGACGGCAACUCCCGGCCAAAUCCGGCCAGUCCAUGCCUUGCUAACCUUUACCGGCACCCUCUCCUUUCCCUAUACCGAUUCCACGGCGUCGAUUCGCAGCCCCCACCACAAACCCUGGCGACCAGAAGCCAGAGCAGGAGGAGAAAAUUUUAAUCUUUGCACCCAUGGAUGGCGGCGGCGCGGCAGCGAGUGGUGGUGAUGCACGAAGCCGUUGUGGGAUCCAGCGGCCACGGCCCACAAGGACGUCGGCGAGCAGGCCGCGGGUCCACGGGCGCGAGACGCAGAAGUACGUCCUCGGGCCUGCAGGACCGUCGACAAGCCCGUGCGGGAGCGCCGCUACUUCUGGCGUCGUCUUCUUCCUUGCUUGCUCUGCUCUCAUCUCUGCUCCUUGCCAUGAGGUCUGAAGCGCUUCUCCGGCUCAACAAACUAGAAGAGGUGAUUCAUAUGUACGGGUUUGCUGAAAUUGGACAGUGCAUCUCUAUCUUCAAUGUCCACCAAACUGUCAGGCAUGGUAGCUGAUUCAUAUGUACAUGUUGUCCAAGCCCUGCACUGCGUCCACCUCAACGAAUGUCGACGACCAAGAGCUGCUGGCAUUGGUCCUGUCUUAAGGAACUGCUCACUCGAGUCGAUGUUGACGCUGCAUCAGGGGAAAUAUUCAGAGAUCAGCAGAGGUCAAUGAACGGCUUCAUGGAGUGGACAGAGAUGGUGUGUCGGUCAGUCACUCACUAGGUGCAGUCUAAGGCUGAAAUUGAUUUCUCUUUUGCAAGCGGCGUUGGUAGCCCUUCCGAGCCAAGAGCCUUAGACAUCAAGUCUGGUGUACAUUUUUGUUUAACUAAACGUUGCUGGACCUGUGUAACUCGAUGUAAACUGGUAGAUGUAAGAUGUGUGAAACUGGUAGAGCAAGUGUAAAUGUCUGUAAACAAUCAGUAUUGUACCCUGUCUAGAUAUAAAGUGUACUGCUUAUUGCAAA